UGACCUCAAAUCAGGUAGGACUACCCGCUGAACUUAAGCAUAUCAAUAAGCGGAGGAAAAGAAACUAACAAGGAUUCCCCUAGUAACUGCGAGUGAAGCGGGAAAAGCUCAAAUUUAAAAUCUGGUGGUCCUCGCGGCCGUCCGAGUUGUAAUCUGGAGAAGUGUUUUCCGCGCUGGACCGUGUACAAGUCUUCUUGAACGGAGCAUCAUAGAGGGUGAGAAUCCCGUCUUUGACACGGACUGCCAGUGCUUUUGUGAUACGCUCUCAACGAGUCGAGUUGUUUGGGAAUGCAGCUCAAAAUGGGUGGUAAAUUCCAUCUAAAGCUAAAUAUUGGCGAGAGACCGAUAGCGAACAAGUACCGUGAGGGAAAGAUGAAAAGAACUUUGGAAAGAGAGUUAAACAGUACGUGAAAUUGUUAAAAGGGAAACGCUUGAAGUCAGUCGCGUCGUUCGGGGAUCAACCUUGCAUUUAUGCUGGGCGUACUUCCCGUUCGAUGGGUCAGCAUCAGUUUUGACCGUUGGAUAAAGUUGGAGGGAAUGUGGCAUCUUCGGGUGUGUUAUAGCCCUUCUUCGCAUGCAACGAUUGGGACUGAGGAACUCAGCACGCCUUUAUGGUCGGGGUUUACCCACGUAACGUGCUUAGGAUGCUGGCAUAAUGGCUUUAAUCGACCCGUCUUGAAACACGGACCAAGGAGUCUAACAUGCCCGCGAGUGUUUGGGUGGAAAACCCGAGCGCGUAAUGAAAGUGAAAGUUGAGAUCUCUGUCGUGGAGAGCAUCGACGCCCGGACCAGACGUUCUCUGACGGUUCCGCGGUAGAGCGUGUAUGUUGGGACCCGAAAGAUGGUGAACUAUGCCUGAAUAGGGUGAAGCCAGAGGAAACUCUGGUGGAGGCUCGUAGCGAUUCUGACGUGCAAAUCGAUCGUCGAAUUUGGGUAUAGGGG
rnacentral:rRNA from 1 species